CGCCUGUUUAUCAAAAACAUGUCCUUUUGUUUAUAAAUAUAAGGUCUAACCUGCCCAAUGAUUUAAUUUAAUGGCCGCGGUAUAUUAACUGUGCUAAGGUAGCAUAAUCAUUUGUCUUAUAAUUGAAGGCUAGCAUGAAUGGUUGGACGAAAUAUAAACUUUCUUUAAUGUGUUUUAAGAACUUAAUCUUUUAGUUAAAAAGCUAAAAUUUUAUUGAGGGACGAGAAGACCCUAUAGAUCUUUACACAUAUAUGUUUCAUAAAUUAUAGUGAAUUAAUUUCUUUUGAUAUAGAAAUGUGUUUGAUUGGGGCGAUUGUAAAAUUUGACUAACUUCUAUUUUUAAUUUUCAUUAAUUUAUGUUUUAUUGAUCUGUUAUUAUUGAUUAAAAGAUUAAGUUACCUUAGGGAUAACAGCGUAAUUUUUUUGGAGAGUUCUUAUCGAUAAAGAAGUUUGCGACCUCGAUGUUGGAUUAAAAUAAGUUUUAGGCGUAGAAGUUUAAAAACUAGGUCUGUUCGACCUUUAAUGUUUUACAUGAUCUGAGUUCAAACCGGAG
rnacentral:rRNA from 1 species